UCUAAUUGAUUUUCCACUCAUGUUGCGCAAGAGUUGAAAGAAGAAAAUUAAAUUAUUCUUCCUAAUCAAUAUUUCUUCAAACUUUAUUGAGAUUUUCUUAGUGAAGAAAUUGAAAUAGUAAUGAAUACUACAGUAUUGGUGUUUUUACCUUUGAUGAAUGCUGCACCUUCUUGAAUACAAAUACUCAUGAAUAAUGAUAAAUUUAAUUGUAAUCACUCCUCGAAAAUUAAUCAUAUUUAUAUGGAUAAUGGUACAUCAAUUUUUAAUUCAUUCUCUGCCUGUAUCUGAAGAAAUAGAUGAUUUACAUGGCAUAGCGGUUGAUGUCUACAAUCGAAGUCUAUGCUCGAUGUCUAUGCUGGAUGUCCAUGCCCAAAGUCCAUGAUUGAAGCCAGGUCCCAUAUUCCACGUUCCAUGGUGAGGCUGCAAGUCUACAUUCGGUGAACCAGACCGAUGAUUACGAAUCCAGGACGUCCAGUCUAAUUAUUCUGGUACGAGGACUGGUCCAGACGAAUCUGGGAAGAUUCCACCGGAGUUCGUAAUUGUACAAACCCGCCACACCACAAGAUUCGCCAUCUUCAAAUAAUAUCGACGUAUAAGGAUAUCAGCCAAACUUCGUAACAUUGCCCAUAUGGAUAAAGUGUAAACAGUGCUCACGAAAAGUAAAAUAUUGCAAAAGUGUUCAUCGAUUAAAAGGGUUUUGGGGCGCCCCUCCUCAACAUAUAAGGUAUUUAUCUGAAUCACUAUGUAUUGAGAUCAAAAUGUAAUCUGUUUAUUUUAUAUUCAUAAUUUGUUGCACUGUUUAAUCUGUUUUCAAUAUUUAAUUAGAUGCUUCUUUUAACUAUCGAUAACUGUACAAUUGAUUUGAUUCUAUAUUUAAAUUUGUCCAAUUCUGUUUAUCUUCAAAAUUAAAUUUAACACACAUGCUUACUACCGAAUAUAUCGUUUUUAUUACAAUACUACCCAUUUGCAAUGUUUAAGGUCUGUAGACUGCUGUCAAAUUAAUUAAGUAUACGUUAAUUGAAUUAUUCCGGUCUUUCUUACUUUGUGUUGAUGGAAUUGAUUCCUAAAUCUGUUGGUUUGAAUCCAGUUUCAUUGGCAUACAGUGGAAGGAUUGAAUAAAACAAAAUAAAAACGAUACAAAUCUAAAUUAUUAUCUAUUGUACAUUUCUACACUACAACAUUCAAAAAGAUCAGACAGGCAUUGGAAGCACAAACACAGACACAUUCAUGAAGGCACUGUUCACCUGUCUAGCAUUUUUCUAUUCUGUAUCGUAUUCAAUUUAACAAUAUACAGUGUUCAAUAAAGAUCAUUGAAAUAAUUCUAUGAGAGUUCUUAUUCUUUCAAAAAUACACAACAAUUUUGGCGACGAGGAUGGGAUAUGUAGUAAGUCCAGCUUCAAUUCACGUGAGUACAUUCUAGCCUUCAACUAACCUGCAAAGACAAGAUGGAAUCAUUGACGGCUGCUAUUACUCAGCUUGUAGAACGAAUGGAGCCUAACAAACAAAAGGAAAGGCCCAUUUCAUUUGAAAAUUUUGAUGAGAAUAAGGAAACCUUUUGCUCAUACAAAGAGAGGUUGGAAAAUUUUUUCGUAUUGAAAGGCCUGUCUGAUCCUGCAGAGCUUGGAUUGCGUGCUUGCAUUCUCAUUAAUAGCAUUGGUAGCAAAUACUACCUACAAGUUACUCAGUAGUUCAACUGCACCGAAAUCGCCUACUGAUGAAUCAUAUGAAACAUUAUGUGAGCUUUUAACUUACUUCAACAUUUGUGCCCUGCACCUAAUGUUUGUGCUGAGCAGCACAGGUUCCUGACUAGACUUCAAGGACAAUCUGAAUCAAUUUGUGAGUACAUAGCAGCAUUAAAAACAUUCACACUGUCUUGUGAAUUUAAUUGCUAAAAUCCAGACUGUAAAAAAUCUGUGGCUGAUUUAUUUCUGCAAGCCCAGUUUGUUCGUGGGUUGUUAGAUGCUAAUAUUUGUGAGAAGCUUAUGCAAGAAACCUCAUUAACAUCCAAUAAGGCUUGCAAUUUGGCAUUGUCCUUGGAUGCUUCCAAGAGAGGAAACCUGGAAAUGUCAUCCAAACCUGUCAAUUUGCUUGUUACUCACAAAGGACCACAAAAAUUUUUCCAAAGGUCUCAACUUUCCAAGUCUGCCACCAGGGUUGAUCUAUCUGCAUUGGGCCUGCAAGGACUCGAUGUGGGUUUGCAAACCAUAAAACACGAGAUUGUCGGUGGAAUGCAUUCACUCUCCAGUGCUCAUCCUGUGGCUCCCCUGGCCAUUUGUCCAAAGUUUGUAUAAAAACUCACACCAAAAAGUCAUCAGUUGAACAAAUCGAUGAAACUUCACAAUCCUUUGAUGAAGAUGAUGGUAAUUUUCCUGAUAACACUUCAAAUAUUAUCAAUGUGAGAUUCUUGUCUGGUCCUGAUACUGAAAAAUUCAUGGUUCCAAUCACAAUUGGGAAUCAUGUCUGUAACUUUGAAGCAGAUUCCGGUAGCCCUGUCACUAUUAUCAAUGAGAAGGAAAUGCAUAAGCUCCAGCAUUUGUCUCCUACAAAUGUGAAAUUUCGCAUCAACACCAAGUAAAUUUUCUCGCCAUUAGGGGAGUUGACAAUUCCUGUGACUUACAAAAGAAAAUGUUUCAAAGAAACCCUUUAUGUUGUUGACACAGACUCUCCUGCAAUCUUAGGUCAAGCAUGGAUGCGAUGCCUUCAGAUUUCCAUCAACACAAUCAGCCAUGUUUCAUCAACUACAGACUCAUUUCAAAAUGAAAUCCUCCAGAUGUAUCCAGAUGUCUUCAAAGACAAAAUAGGAACUAUUCCAAACUACAAAUGUUCUCUUAUCAUGAAUGAUCAGGUCAAACCAAUAUUUUUAAAGCCCUGUCCAGUGCCAUAUGCUCUACAAGACAGAGUUGAAGCUAAGUAGUAUAAAAAGGGCGACUCUGGCACACAAGUGUGCCAGAGUCGCCCUUCACC